UCCCAGGUAGCGGCUCCGCGGCGCCACGUGAAGAAGCACCUGUUCAGCGACACAGACACAGACGCCAUCAUGGAGAUCAGCUGGCUCAAAGAGUCCAGCAGGAAGCCCAAGCCCAAAGUGAUCGACUACAGCCGUCAGCCCCGGCUCCACCCCCCUGCCCCCAACACCACAUAUGAGUCCCCAGACUUACCACCUAGCUCACCCAAGCCUGUGAAGGAGAAAGCCAAGCCAAAGAAGGUGAGACUGAUAAUCCAAUGGUUUUAAAUCAGUGAUGGGGAAUCUCAAUGAGCUAGUGCACACUUCGGGUAGAAGGGAUGGGGAAUCGGAACCAGCCUUGUAUCUUGAAACCUUAGAAUCCAAAGUGAGUUAAUCAACUUUUCAUCCUUACUACUGCUCUGUUGCAACCUAGAAAUAUGAUUCCUAACAUGGGCUUCCCCAUCCAAAUCAAUGGGUGAGUGAUGGGUGGAAUUGUACUUGUAUGGUUGCAUCAGUCAGCAUUGCCUCUGUCGGCCACAGUGUGUCAUGCUCGCCUUUCAGAAGAGACAGAGGGUGAAGGAGAGAAGUGUAGAGCAGAAAGAGAACAGUGGAGCGGCACUGGUGGCAGCAGGGACCAGUCAAGCAGCCAGGAGACCCCAGAGAGCCGUCGCCACCAACGCCAAGAGCUACAGGGAGCCCGACAGCGCCAGCCAAUCAGAGACUGAAGAGCCGCCCGCUCCUAAGAAGCGCUCCAUCGGACCAGCGGAAAAGAGCGAGAAGGUUUGCCAAGAGGCUGUCGAGGUGGAGAAGAAAAAGGCAACUGCCCCAGCCAAGGAACAGACGACUGUACCGAAAGAGUCUUCUUGGGCUGCCCGGCUGGCCUCUUUCAACCCUUCCCCUCCUGACUUCGAGAGGAUGAGAGCUGCAUCCGAGAGGUCGCUGAUAGCCUUACCCCGGUCGCCCCUCACCCCGCUGGGCUCCCUGUCCGCCUCCCCUGCCAGCGGCCCCUCUUCACCCCUUGCCCUGGAGCUGCCCCCCGAACACCCUCGCAGCAGCGCGGGCUUCCAGCCCUCCUCCUUCUACAGCGCCCCUGGGAGGAAGAGUGACCGCAAAGCUAAGGAUCCCUCUCUCCCAUCCCUCCCCUCUCUCCCAUCCCUUACUCCCACUGGCAAGACUCCUGGCCUCUGCGCCCAGAGACCCAGUGCCUUAGAGCUGAGCCCAAUCCAGCCCGCUCUCUCCCUGGCCCAGUCUCCCCUCUGCACUCCCUCCCAGCUCCUCUUGACCUCCACGGCCCUCCAGAAGUCAGUGCUGCCCUCCCCUCUACUCCAAUCACAGCCCUCUCCAGGAGAGACGAAUCAGUUCGCCCUCCAUUUUGGCUCCCCGGGCCAGCCCGAGUCCGUCGACAAGGAGUCGCUGGUCUCCAGAGUGAAGCUGAGCCAGUCCUCGUCCAGGUCAGAGAUGUCAUCGACCCGAGUGGAGGUGGUCAACCCGGCAGCGCUGACAACCGCACUGGAGGUACGGAUACUAAGGGCCAGUUUGCGAGAAUUAAGCCUAGUCCCAGAAUAA
rnacentral:lncRNA from 8 species